rnacentral:misc_RNA from 1 species
UCUUCGAGGUCGGCUGGAA